GAUGAACGCUGGCGGCGUGCUUAACACAUGCAAGUCGAACGAUGAAGCUCAGCUUGCUGGGUGGAUUAGUGGCGAACGGGUGAGUAACACGUGAGUAACCUGCCCUUAACUCUGGGAUAAGCCUGGGAAACUAGGUCUAAUACCGGAUAGGAGCGUCCACCGCAUGGUGGGUGUUGGAAAGAUUUAUCGGUUUUGGAUGGACUCGCGGCCUAUCAGCUUGUUGGUGAGGUAAUGGCUCACCAAGGCGACGACGGGUAGCCGGCCUGAGAGGGUGACCGGCCACACUGGGACUGAGACACGGCCCAGACUCCUACGGGAGGCAGCAGUGGGGAAUAUUGCACAAUGGGCGAAAGCCUGAUGCAGCGACGCCGCGUGAGGGAUGACGGCCUUCGGGUUGUAAACCUCUUUCAGUAGGGAAGAAGCGAAAGUGACGGUACCUGCAGAAGAAACACCGGCUAGCUACGU
rnacentral:rRNA from 1 species